rnacentral:miRNA from 10 species
AAGUUGGAAGUUGAUUGACUGG